UCUGACAUGUAGACAUCAAUAAUAAUUUUAGAAAAAGAUGUGAUGACAUCAUAAGUGUCAGUGUCAUGUCGGUGUCGACACCAACACGUAUCAGAUACAAAUCAUAAAGUAAAAUUUAUAUUGAUGGGAAUAAAAGAGGACAUCCAUCAAAAUCAUUUCCACUGUAGUAGAUAAGGGAGGAAUUUGGACAGGCCAAAGAUUUGUUACUUGCACUACAAGCUUUCAAGUAAAUGCAAGAAAACUGAUGAUAAUUUCAAUGAUAAUGUUGGGAAUAAAUGUUCUUUGUAUAAGUUUCAUACUAAAAGAUCAAAUCAAACUGAACAAACUUUUGUUAAUGAAAGGUAAGGCAAUGAUGAUACAAUGCAUAGAAAGCAACAAGAAAAGGACCUUAACAAAAAUAUUACAGAAAAGCUUGGAACAUUAUUUAGCUAUGGAAGGGAAACAUGAAAAAUCCCAAUAAAUAGAAGUCUAAUAAAAAAAAGGGUCUUCUUAACGAGUGUCCUUAAGACACUCUUUAAGGUUUCUCAAUUAAGAAAUUAUUCUUUGAAAAAACUCACCAUUUCAAUUUCCGAUAUAUUGAAUGCACAAUUUUCCAUAAAAAUUUACUAUUUAAAGUCCUUAAAGAGUGUCCUUAGGGUACUCGCUAACAUUUCCCUAAAAAAAAGUACACCAAUAAAAAACCCGACUAAUCACUUAGCAACAGUGAAAAUAUGAUGCAUAAUUUAUUGGCAAACAUGAAUAUUAUCAAGAGUCUUCCAAUGUUAAUUGAGCUGAAUUAAAUGCUUGGAUGCUUCAAAUUAGUCCUAAUUAUCUAUGCAACUAAAUAAUUUUUUCAUUACAUCAAGAAAAUUAAAUGAUUUUAGCUUAUAACUGAAUCCGAACGGAGUAUCGAUUAGGCAAAAUUAUGAGUAAAAAAGUUAGCAGGUACUUCUGCUACUUUAUUUAUAUAUAAAAAAGGCAUCAGCAGAGAAAGAUAAUGUAGCCAUACCAAUAUGCCGGUUACCGUAAGUGUUGAGACUGCUCCCACAUCAUGAACCUGUUACUCACACAAGGAUAUCAAUUUUACAUAAAGAUUAGGAAUAAAACUUGAAGUUGUAAUGUUCUUAGUGAGGAUGUACCUUGAGAUAGAAUGCAACUGCAGUAAAUAUACAUACUGUAACCAAUCCUGAUCUCCAGAUACCUAAUUGAAAUAACAAUAUAUAUGAGUAUCAUACAUGAAGCGGAGAUAAGCAAAUGAAAAUAAAAGUAAGUUCCUUGUGCUUUGAAUUUACCAAAAGUGCAAUUCCAAUCAAAUGUGCAGGAUAGUUGGAUAUUGGGCAAUCAUGUGUAAAUUUUUUUUUUUUUUUUUAAAGAAGUUAUGUGUAAAGUAAUUAUAGACAAAGUAUACUAAUUAAAUUAAGGCUUAAUACAUGCUUUGGUCCCUUAACUUAUUUUUGAAUUCCAUUUUGGUCCUUUAACUUUAAACCGUCUCAAUUUGGUCCCAUAAUUUUACCU
rnacentral:lncRNA from 1 species